GAGAUCUUUUCUAGGAGGAGCAGAUGAAACAUACAAGCAAAAAAGAUUAACCUGAUAGUAAAAUAUGCUGGGUUUUCUUAUUUUCCGUUAUAAAUGAGACUCAAAAUUAGAAAAGAAAAGGAGAGGAAAAGAGCAUUGGUGAAGGAUAUGACCAAGCAUUCCGGUACUAUAUCGCAGAACACAAUCAAACAUCAACAAUUAGUGUUAGAAUUGAUAUAAAUGAUGUUUGGAGUUUUGAAUUUGUGCGAAGUUAAGGGGUCGUCUGGUAUCAUUUCUGUUUUUAAAAAACCUUGUUUGUUUUUGUACAAAAAAAAUGUAAACAAAAAACAAUUGAUUAUCAAAUGUUUUCAAAACCAAACAAAGUGAGUGAUUGUUGGGAAAAUUCGAAAACGGAAGCCUCAAAGGAUACCAAAGGCGCCCUAAGAAACAAAAGGGUGGAAGCAGCAGCAGGUCAAUAAAAACACAAAAUUUGAUUAUCAAAUGUUUCUUGCCUGGCAUGAAACAUAAGCAAGACACGUAACCUCGUUUGUUUUUGUUUCUUGUAAGAAAAAAUGUAAAAAAACAAAAAAAAAAUCUGAUUAUCAAAUGUUUUCAAAUCCAAACAAAGUGACAGUGAUUGUUGGGAAAAUUCGAAAACGGAAACCUCAAAGGAUACCAAAGGAGCCCUAAGAAACAAAAGGGUGGAAGCAGCAGCAGCAGCAGGUCAAUAAAAACACAAAAUUUGGCAGAAAAAAGACAGUGGGAAUUAAUGAAGUAAAAAGGAAGAAAGCAGAGAACUUAAUUUUAUUUUUGUAGUUGCAUGCAUGCAGCAAGAAAAGGGGGUAUUGUUUUUGUUAGAAUAUGCAAAGAAACACACUCUUUGCCCUCAUCUCAUCAUCCAAUAUUUCUUCUGCCAGCAUAGCAGAAAUUAAUUGCUUUUAUAAAAUAAUUUUAAAAUAAAGAAUUAAUUCAUUACAUAAAAAUAGAAAAUUGAAUAAUUGAAUAAUAU
rnacentral:lncRNA from 1 species